rnacentral:rRNA from 1 species
GACGAACGCUGGCGGCGUGCUUAACACAUGCAAGUCGAACGGAAAGGCCCUGCUUUUGUGGGGUGCUCGAGUGGCGAACGGGUGAGUAACACGUGAGUAACCUGCCCUUGACUUUGGGAUAACUUCAGGAAACUGGGGCUAAUACCGGAUAGGAGCUCCUGCUGCAUGGUGGGGGUUGGAAAGUUUCGGCGGUUGGGGAUGGACUCGCGGCUAUCAGCUUGUUGGUGGGGUAGUGGCUUACCAAGGCUUUGACGGGUAGCCGGCCUGAGAGGGUGACCGGCCACAUUGGGACUACGAGACGGCGCAGACUCCUACGGGAGGCAGCAGUGGAGAAUAUUGCACAAUGGGCGGAAGCCUGAUGCAGCAACGCCGCGUGCGUGAUGACGGCCUUCGGGUUGUAAACCGCUUUCGCCUGUGACGAAGCGUGAGUGACGGUAAUGGGUAAAGAAGCACCGGCUAACUACGUG